rnacentral:rRNA from 1 species
CCCUUGGAUGUCCGGGGCCGCACGCGCGCUACACUGAAGGAAUCAGCGUGGCUUUCUCCCUGACCCGAAAGGGUUGGGAAACCCGUUGAAUCUCCUUCGUGAUAGGGAUUGGGGCUUGAAAUUGUUCCCCAUGAACGAGGAAUUCCCAGUAAGCGCGAGUCAUAAGCUCGCGUUGAUUACGUCCCUGCCCUUUGUACACACCGCCCGUCGCUACUACCGAUUGAACGGUUUAGUGAGGGCCUCGGAUUGGUCUCGGCCCGCUCUUUACCGGGCGGCGCCGUUGGUCGAGAAGACGCUCGAACUUGAUCGUUUAGAGGAAGUAAAAGUCGUAACA